rnacentral:rRNA from 1 species
GUAGGGAAUAUUGCACAAUGGGCGAAAGCCUGAUGCAGCAACGCCGCGUGCGCGAUGAAGGCCUUCGGGUCGUAAAGCGCUUUUCGGGGAGACGAGGAAGGACGGUAUCCCCGGAAUAAGGAUCGGCUAACUACGUGCCAGCAGCCGCGGUAAAACGUAGGAUCCGAGCGUUAUCCGAAUUCACUGGGCGUAAAGCGCGUGCAGGCGGCUCUAUAAGUUGGAUGUGAAAUCUCCUGGCUCAACUAGGAGAGGCCGUUCAAUACUGUAGGGCUAGAGGGCAGUAGAGGGAGGUGGAAUUCCCGGUGUAGUGGUGAAAUGCGUAGAUAUCGGGAGGAACACCAGUGGCGAAGGCGGCCUCCUGGACUGUACCUGACGCUCAGACGCGAAAGCUAGGGGAGCGAACGGGAUUAGAUACCCUGGUAGUCC